UUUCAGCCUGCUUAUAGUCUUUGAGAAAAGGGGAAAGACAAAGACACAGAAGAGGUAUAACAGAAUGUCAGAGAGGAGGAGGGUCUGAGGUAUAAGACAACUUGCAGGAACAAGCAGAUGAAAAAAUUAUGGUCGCUCGCAGAGCAAAGGGAAUAAGAAGGUGUGUAUUUGUUAGUAAAGAAAAAAUAUAGUGAAGAGUGGAAUUUUUGAGGGCUUUGUAGGUAGAUGUUAGUAGUCUGAAUUGGGUCUUAAAGGGUAGAAGAAGCCAAUGUAAUGAUUGGCAAAUAAUAAUAAUUAUAAUUAUUAUCAUUAUUAUUUAAUGUCUUGCUGUGUAGCUCUGUCUGCUCACUGUACAUCAUGG